GUGUCAUACCUGCACUGUGCAUGCUGCCAUGAGUGCAGACCCAGCCUAAGAGAUGGCUCUUUCAGUUCAGGCAGUAGCAGCUCAUGCAUUGAGAUCCAGAGUUCCCAGCUUGCCUCCAGCAUUUGCAUGACUUUUCAUUCCAAGCAUGACAUGAAGGAUUUGCCUGAAAACAGGAUCUUUUUCUCAACAGUGCAUCUGCUCAUUAUUUUCCCCAUCUUGGAGUCCUAAGAAUCCUUUGUUGGUUAAAUUACAUCCAGUUCCACAGCAGCCGGUUGUCAUGCUGCCGAUCAAGGUUGUGACAUCAUCAGGUGCACAUCUGAACUGAAUCUGAAGAUUUUAUUUCUGCACAAAUGCCUUGGAAAGAGGAAAUCUGGGGUGUACACAUAGAAAAGCAGGAAUGUUACUGGAAAAUAUUGGGCCAGAUCCUCA